CACGUAGGGCGCAAGCGUUGUCCGGAAUUAUUGGGCGUAAAGAGCGUGUAGGCGGCCAGGUAGGUCUGCUGUGAAAACUCGAGGCUUAACCUCGAGCUGUCGGCGGAAACCAUCUGGCUAGAGUCCGGAAGAGGAGAAUGGAAUUCCCGGUGUAGCGGUGAAAUGCGCAGAUAUCGGGAAGAACACCCGUGGCGAAGGCGGUUCUCUGGGACGGUAGCUGGACGCUGAGACGCGAAAGCGUGGGGAGCGAACAGG
rnacentral:rRNA from 1 species